rnacentral:rRNA from 1 species
GAUGAACGCUGGCGGCGUGCCUAAUACAUGCAAGUCGAACGCACAGCGAAAGGUGCUUGCACCUUUCAAGUGAGUGGCGAACGGGUGAGUAACACGUGGACAACCUGCCUCAAGGCUGGGGAUAACAUUUGGAAACAGAUGCUAAUACCGAAUAAAACUCAGUGUCGCAUGACACAAAGUUAAAAGGCGCUUUGGCGUCACCUAGAGAUGGAUCCGUGGUGCAUUAGUUAGUUGGUGGGGUAAAGGCCUACCAAGACAAUGAUGCAUAGCCGAGUUGAGAGACUGAUCGGCCACAUUGGGACUGAGACACGGCCCAAACUCCGACGGGAGGCUGCAGUAGGGAAGCUUCCACAAUGGGCGAAAGCCUGAUGGAGCAACGCCGCGUGUGUGAUGAAGGCUUUCGGGUCGUAAAGCACUGUUGUAUGGGAAGAACAGCUAGAAUAGGGAAUGAUUUUAGUUUGACGGUACCAUACCAGAAAGGGACGGCUAAAUACGUGCCAGCCGCCGCGUAA